rnacentral:rRNA from 1 species
GACGAACGCUGGCGGCGGGCUUAACACAUGCAAGUCGAACGGAAAGGCCCUGCGAUUGUGGUGUGCUCGAGUGGCGAACGGGUGAGUAACACGUGAGUAACCUGCCCUUGACUUUGGGAUAGCUUCAGGAAACUGGGGCUAAGAUCGGAUAGGAGCCCCUGCUGCAUGGUGGGCGUGGGAAAGUCUCGGCGGGCGGGGAUGGACGCGCGGCUGAUCAGCUAGCUGGUGGGGGAGUGGUAUGCCAAGGCAGUGACGGAUAGCCGGCUUGUGAGGGUGACCGGCGACAAGGGGACUGAGAGACGGCCCAGAGGGCAACGGGGGGCAGCAGUGGGGAAUCUUGCCCAGUGGGAGGGAGCCUGAGGCAGAGGCGCCGCGUUCGGGAUGACGGCCUUCUGGUUGAAAACAGCUUUAGCCUGUGACGAAGCGGGAGUGACGGUAAUGGGUGAAGAAGCACCGGCUAACUACGUG